CAGAGAACUCCAAAAAUUUUUCUAAGGCUCUGAAAGAUACAACAAGUUUAUAAAUCAAGCUCUGGGCUGGUGCUUUUUGCCUAUGAAUUACGCUGCUACAGACAGCAGGCAGCAGAACCUCAGCUUCAAACAAGCGGCAGUGAUUUGCGCUCUAACACCCUUGGCCAGAUGCAUCUUGAAAGUUCUUUUUCUGUGACGGAAGUCGGUGAACCUCUCUUGUUUCUCGAGCCCGGUGAGCUGAGGUGAUAACUACUGCAGCAGCAAGUAUGAGCCUACCUGAGCAGGGCAGGGGCAGGGGCAGGGGCAGGGGCAGGGGCAGGGGCAGGGGCAGGCGCCCCCGUCACUGGAGGGAGAAGAGGCAGGUUGUUUGGGGGUGAGGCCAGCCUCAGAG
rnacentral:lncRNA from 1 species